ACCUGGGUGGCUCAGUCGGUUGAGCGUCUGACUUCAGCUCAGGUCAUGAUCUCACAGUCCGUGAGUUCGAGCCCCGCAUCAGGCU
rnacentral:tRNA from 1 species